GUGGGGAAUAUUGGGCAAUGGGCGCAAGCCUGACCCAGCAACGCCGCGUGAAGGAAGAAGGCUUUCGGGUUGUAAACUUCUUUUACCAGGGACGAAACAAAUGACGGUACCUGGUGAAUAAGCCACGGCUAACUACGUGCCAGCAGCCGCGGUAAUACGUAGGUGGCGAGCGUUAUCCGGAUUUAUUGGGUGGAAAGGGCGUGUAGGCGGGACAGCAAGUCAGAUGUGAAAACCAGAGGCUCAACCUCUGGCCUGCAUUUGAAACUGUUGUUCUUGAGUGUCGGAGAGGUAAUCGGAAUUCCGUGUGUAGCGGUGAAAUGCGUAGAUAUACGGAGGAACACCAGUGGCGAAGGCGGAUUACUGGACGAUAACUGACGCUGAGGCGCGAAAGCGUGGGGAGCAAACAGGAUUAGAAACCCCAGUAGUCC
rnacentral:rRNA from 1 species